CCAGGGAACACAAGGGAAUUUUCUUUCUUUGCCUUUAGUAAUAAUAACUGAACAUGGACCAGGUGCCAGGGAUCAUGACAAAUGCUGAAACCACGUGUCCUCAUUGAAGCCCCAGCCAGCCACCCCUGGGAGUCAUUUGGGUGUCCUUGUCCCCCGGAUCCCAGGAGGGCACUCAUGGUGGUUUAUGGGACUCUGGACUCCUGAGAAGCGGCCUUGAGUCUACAGGAUACAUCUACAGCCUGACCUGACCACCCAACACUCCCAGGCAGCCGCGGCUUGCUCCCCUGCUGGCCAUUUCCAGCCUGCUAGAAAACCCACCUUUUUGUUCCUACCGACCGUGGCUUUGAGAUCAAGUGAGGGUAGGAAAUGCCCCUGGUCACUAAAAGGGCUGUAGGAAAGGCUGGCUCUCUGAGAAUACAGCUGCCCUCCAGGGCAGGACCUGGAAGGAGCACAGCGCCAGGGCGACACAUGGUCACAAGCCCAGCUCUGUCCCUGAGCAGCGUGCUCUCUGCUUGGGGUCUCUCCUGACCGUCUCUGCAAGGCGUGGGGAGAGACCUGCUGCUCCCUUUGAAUGCUUUCUUCCACAUGUGGACAAAUGGCCCUUCCCUUCCUUCCCCGUAACACAGCCCACGGAAAUAUUGAAGACAUGCCACUAAGUGACUUUCCAAGUGGGACAUCAAAGAACUGGGCUUCUACCCUGAGCAGCAUCUUGCUGUGGACCUCAAGUAAGUCACCCCAUCAUUUAUGCCUCACCUUCCUCAUCUGUAAAAUGUGAGGAGAGCCAGGCACCGUGGCGCACGCCUGUAGUCCCAGCUACUCAGGAGGCCGAGGCAGGAGGAUCGCUUAAGCCUGGGAGUUAAAGGCUGCAAUGAGCUAUGAUUGCACCACUGCACUCCAGCCUGGGCAACAGAGUGAAAACUCAUCUCUAAAAAAAAAAAUCAGGCCGG
rnacentral:lncRNA from 10 species